UACAGAGGUCCCAAGCGUUGUUCGGAUUCACUGGGCGUAAAGGGUUCGUAGGCGGUUUGAUAAGUCUGAUGUGAAAUCCCGCAGCUUAACUGCGGAACUGCAUUGGAAACUGUUUGACUAGAGGAAUGGAGGGGAGACUGGAAUACUUGGUGUAGCAGUGAAAUGCGUAGAUAUCAAGUGGAACACCAGUGGCGAAGGCGAGUCUCUGGACAUUUCCUGACGCUGAGGCACGAAAGCCAGGGGAGCAAACGGG
rnacentral:rRNA from 1 species